GACGAACUGUCCUAACGUUGUUCGGAAUCACUGGGCUUAAAGGGCGCGUAGGCGGUCGACCAAGUCAGGGGUGAAAUCCUGCAGCUUAACUGUAGAAGUGCCUUUGAUACUGGUCGUCUCGAGGGAGGUAGGGGUGUGCGGAACUUCCAGUGGAGCGGUGAAAUGCGCAGAUAUCAGGAGGAACACCGGUGGCGAAGGCGCUGCUCUGGGCCGGUACUGACGCUGAGGAGCGAAAGCGUGGGUAGCAAACAGG
rnacentral:rRNA from 1 species